CUUGAGUCUUGUAUUGGAAUGAUGGGAAUUUAAACCCCUUCCAGAGUAUCAAUUGGAGGGCAAGUCUGGUGCCAGCAGCCGCGGUAAUUCCAGCUCCAAUAGCGUAUAUUAAACUUGUUGCAGUUAAAAAGCUCGUAGUUGAAUUUCUGCUGCAUCGUGGUUCUUCGCUAUGUCGAGUGAUCUUCGUUGUGGCUUAGUUGGGGCAUGUUUUCAUGACUCGACGUUUACUUUGAGAAAAUUAGAGUGCUUCAAGCAGGCUUUUGCCUUGAAUACUUUAGCAUGGAAUAAUGGAGUAGGACUUUGGUUCUAUUUUGUUGGUUUUAGGAGCCGGAGUAAUGGUUAAUAGGAACAGUUGGGGGCAUUCGUAUUUGACUGUCAGAGUGAAA
rnacentral:rRNA from 1 species